CACGUAGGGGACGAGCGUUGUCCGGAAUCAUUGGGCGUAAAGCGCGCGUAGGCGGCCCGGCAAGUCGGAUGUGAAAUCCCGGGGCUCAACCCCGGGCCUGCAUCCGAUACUCCCGGGCUGGAGGCAGGUAGGGGAGAUCGGAAUUCCUGGUGUAGCGGUGAAAUGCGCGGAUAUCAGGAGGAACACCGGUGGCGAAGGCGGAUCUCUGGGCCUUGCCUGACGCUGAGGCGCGAAAGCUAGGGGAGCGAACAGG
rnacentral:rRNA from 1 species